GACAGAGGUGCCGAGCGUUAGGCGGAAUCACUGGGCUUAAAGCGUGUGUAGGCGGGUCGUUAAGUGUCUUGUGAAAUCCCCCGGCUCAACCGGGGAAUGGCUGGGCAUACUGGCGAUCUUGAGCGAUCUAGGGGGCAGAUGGAACAAGUGGUGGAGCGGUGAAAUGCGUAGAUAUCGUCUGGAACGCCGAAGGUGAAAACAGCUCGCUGGGGCUGCGCUGACGCUGAGACACGAAAGCCAGGGGAGCGAACGGG
rnacentral:rRNA from 1 species